CCCCGCUGAACUUAAGCAUAUUAAUAAGCGGAGGAAAAGAAACUAACAAGGAUUCCCCUAGUAACGGCGAGUGAAGCGGGAAGAGCUCAAGCUUAAAAUCUCCGUGCAAGUUUUGCGCGGCGAAUUGUAGUCUAUAGAGGCGUGAUCAGUGUGGGCGCUUGGGGCAAGUUCCUUGGAAGAGGACAGCAUGGAGGGUGAUACUCCCGUUCAUCCCUGAGUUGCUCGUGCGUACGAUCCGUUUUCUUUGAGUCGCGUUGUUUGGGAAUGCAGCGCAAAGUAGGUGGUAAAUUCCAUCUAAAGCUAAAUAUUGGUGCGAGACCGAUAGCGAACAAGUACCGUGAGGGAAAGAUGAAAAGAACUUUGAAAAGAGAGUUAAAGAGUACCUGAAACUGCUGAAAGGGAACCGAAUCGUUUCCAGUGUCUAUAAUCCGUGGUAUAUUUCAUUGGCGAGUGUGUGCGUGCGUGUGCUGUGGCAGCGGCCUUUUUGGCUGCGCUCGGCGUGUGUGCUGUGUGUGCUUGCUGGUGCCCUGUGCUGCGGUGGGACGUCAAGGUCAGUUCGUAUGCUGCGGGAAAUGGCCGCCGAGGAGGUAGGGCUUACGCUUGCGUUUGUCUGUUAUAUCUUGGUGGACGAGUAGUCGCGGUUGGGACUGAGGUGCCUACAACGUGUUUUUGAGUGGGCCUGUGUCUCUGUGUGCRCCGUGUGCGGAUAGCUUGCUAUGCGUGUGUGGUUGUGUGUGGAUUGAUGUGGGUUUUAACUUGUUGCCGUUCGGGACGUUGACGAAAUGGAGCGAUUUGACCCGUCUUGAAACACGGACCAAGGAGUCUAACAUGUGUGCAAGUGUUAGGGUGUGGAAACCCCAGCGCGAAAUGAAAGUGAAGGGCAGCGUAAGUUGUCUGAGGUAGGAAAUGCUGCGGGCUUCGGUCUGCGGUGUGGCACUAUCGACCGAUCAUGAACCUUCGUGGUGAAAGAUUUGAGUUUGAGCACAUAUGUUGGUACCCGAAAGAUGGUGAACUAUGCCUGAGUAGGGUGAAGCCAGGGGAAACUCUGGUGGAAGCUCGUAGCGAUUCUGACGUGCAAAUCGAUCGUCAAACUUGGGUAUAGGGGCGAAAGACUAAUCGAACCAUCUAGUAGCUGGUUCCCUCCGAAAUUUCCCUCAGGAUAGCAGCAACUUAUUUACGAUAGUUUUAUGAGGUAAAGCGAAUGAUUAGAGGAUUCGGGGAAGAAACUUCCUCGACCUAUUCUCAAACUUUAAAUCUGUAAGACCUGCAGGUUUCUUAAUUGAACUUGUGGAUGUGAAUAUCAAGUUGCUAGUGGGCCAUACGGGGUAAGCUCGUCUGGCG
rnacentral:rRNA from 1 species